rnacentral:rRNA from 1 species
CCUACGGGAGGCAGCAGUAGGGAAUUUUCCGCAAUGGGCGAAAGCCUGACGGAGCAAUACCGCGUGAGGGAUGACGGCCUGUGGGUUGUAAACCUCUUUUCUCAAGGAAGAAGUUCUGACGGUACUUGAGGAAUAAGCAUCGGCUAACUCUGUGCCAGCAGCCGCGGUAAUACAGAGGAUGCAAGCGUUAUCCGGAAUCACUGGGCAUAAAGCGUCUGUAGGUUGUUUAGUAAGUCUGCUGUUAAAGACUGGGGCUUAACCCCAGAAAAGCAGUGGAAACUGCUAGACUCGAGUGUGGUAGAGGUAGAGGGAAUUCCUAGUGUAGCGGUGAAAUGCGUAGAUAUUAGGAAGAACACCAAUGGCGAAGGCACUCUACUGGGCCAUAACUGACACUGAGAGACGACAGCUAGGGGAGCAAACGGGAUUAGAUACCCCGGUAGUCCUAGCCGUAAACGAUGGAUACUAGAUGUUGCACGUAUUAACCCGUGCAGUAUCGUAGCUAAGGCGUUAAGUAUCCCGCCUGGGAAGUACGCUCGCAAAGAGUGAAACUCAAAGGAAUUGACGGNNGAGAGNGCGAGACGACGACGAGGGAGAG